AAGCUGCUGCUGUUUUUCUACUUUAGUAUGAACAAUUAAUUGUUAACUCUUUUGCUCACUUCUAAUUUUACAAAUAUUCUGAACUUUUCUGCAUUUCUGGUAACACUCUACAAACUAUCUAUCAAACAUUACAAACAAGACAAGCACGAAUAAAGCUAAAUCAAAACAGAAGAGAAUAGAAGAGAAAAUAAUGAUUCAGAGAAAUUGAAUGAGAGUUCUAAUUUGUUUUAUUAAUUCUCGCUGCCGUACUUUCCCUUGAGAAAACAAAAAUCAACUCGAACUCCAUCGUUCCAACCCCUCUCCUGUCCCCCAAACUCUCAGUUCGAAUGAGUUUCCUUUUAUUUUAUUUUUCGUUUCAGUUUCAGUGACACCCUUUCAGAACCCUUAGAACCCUUAUAGAUAUGAUUGAACAGAGCGGUUUAUUGCUAUGUGUGUUCAUAUGCUUCUUGCUAUAUCAUGCUGUGAGGGCUGAGAUACCAUUAGGUUCUAGACUUUCGGUGGUUGACAAUGGCAGCUGGGUUUCCAAAAAUGGUAAUUUUACCAUUGGAUUUCUUGAGAUUUCGGAUGAGCCUGGCCGGUUUAGUUUUGGCAUUCGUUUCAGCGACAAGUCUAUACCGUAUAGUCAACAAAGAAUGGUGUGGAGUGCUGACUUUCAGAUUGGAGUAGGUAACAUGUCCUAUUUCCUUUUCACUACAGAUGGUGAUAUGCUCCUGUUUGAUGAUCAGGGAAUAUCUUCAUGGAGCAGCCAAACCAGUAACAAGGGUGUCGUGUCGGCUUCUCUUCUUGACAAUGGAAAUCUUGUUCUAAUCGACAGAGAACAAAAGGUCAUUUGGCAAAGUUUUGAUAGUCCAUAUGAUACACUUCUCCCAGGACAGUUUCUAUCUUGUGAUAAGAUGCUUCAAGCUGCAAGUACGAAUCUACUGUCCAGUUACUACAGCCUGUCUAUGAACGUUUCGGGACACUUGAUGCUCCUUUGGCAAGGUAUUAUUCCCUACUGGACAAGCCAAAACCCUUCUGUUCCGAAUCUCACUGCAUAUGUAACAAACAAUGGAGCUCUGCAACUUUUAGACAAAAAUCUUAAUGUUGUUUGGACCGUGUUUGGAGAAGACUACGAUGAAUAUGUUAAAUACCGGUUUCUUAGGAUAGAUGUGGAUGGCAAUCUCCGCUUAUAUUCGUGGGUGGAGGCUUUGCAGUCAUGGAAAUCUGUCAGGCAAGCUGUUCAGAACCAGUGCAAGGUUUUUGCAACUUGCGGUAAACGGGGGGUCUGUGUUUUGUCUUCCUGUGGUACUGCUGAUUGUGUGUGCCCUUUCAACCAGACGGACACUGAUGAGACUUGUUUGAUUCCAUAUGAACAAAAGUGUAAACAUGGUUCCACUAUGAUCACAUAUAGGAAUAUACACCUAUUUGGGCUUUUCCCUAUUGAUGGUCCGGCUAUCAUGACUAGCAUGAAUAAAUGUAUGCAAUUGUGCCAGAAUGACUCUAGUUGUACUGCCGCAACCUUUUCUAAUCAUUUUCGUCCCCAAUGCUCGAUAAAGAAAUCUGAGUAUGUCACUGGCUAUUUAGAUUGGUCUCCAGACGUGGUAUCAUUUGUCAAGAGUUGCUCAUCUACAUCUGCCCCAAAGUUCCCAUGUCAAAGUCAAAGCUCACCUCCAACAGAAGAAGAUUCUGAUAUUCGUGUUCCUUGUCUAAUAGGAAUAUCCUUAGACACAAUUAUCAUCGCUGUUGUCCUUCAACUCGGAUGUUUUUAUCUUUUCAUCUACAAAAGGAAAACCUCUACUAGAUGCAAAUACAAUUUACCUUCCGCAGACACAAAUUUAAAGGGCUUAGUUGUGUUGUUAUCUUUUUCAGAGAUCAAGAGCGUCACUGAGGAUUUCAAAGAUCGAAUUGGGCCAAAUAUGUUCAAGGGCAUGCUACUAAACAAAUUCCCAGUUGCUGUUAAAGAGCUGAUUGCAUCCAUAGAUGCAAGGAAGUUCAGGACUGCUGUUCUGAAGAUUGGAGGCAUCCACCACAAGAACCUUGUGCAGCUGGAGGGCUAUUGUUGCGAGUCCAAUCAUAGAUUCUUGGUCUACGAGUACGUCAAAAACGGUUCUCUUGAGAAGUAUAUAGAUGAUUCCGCUCUUUGCAAGGAACUGACCUGGAGAAAAAGGGUUGACAUAUGCUUAAGCGUGGCCCAGGCCAUUAAUUAUCUUCACUCUGAAUGCAGGGAGUUCAUAAGUCAUGGAAAUCUGAAGUGUGAAAAUGUCAUGUUGGAUGAGAACUUAAAAGCCAAGGUGAGCGAAUGUGGGUUUGCAAUAGUAGACGGCGAGGCAGUGUACUGUGCCUUUUCUGCCCAGAGAGACAUAGCAGAUUUCGGCAUGUUAGUCCUAACCUUAUUGACCGGAUGUAGAGAUCAAAGUGAUCUUUGUGAGUGGUCAUAUAAAGAAUUGAUAGAAGGGAAUGCUGCAAAUGUGAUUGACAAAAGAAUUGAAGGUGGUGCCAAUUUAAAUGAACUUGAGCGCGUUUUGAGAAUCGCAUUCUGGUGCCUACAAAGUGAUGAACGUCGAAGGCCUUCAAUGGAGGAAGUAGUGGCAGUACUGGAAGGAACUUUGAGUAUUGAUCUACCACCACCUCCAUUUUGAUGCAAGAGGUUAUUGCUGGAAUAAUCCUAGAUACAAUAAGAUAAUGUUUCUGAGAUUCAGUGGAUGUGCUAAAUAAAUUUGUAGGAACUGUGUUCACUUUAGUUUACAACCUUAGUCACAUUAUAGUUUACAACCUUCUUGUUUGUGCUAAAUAGAGAGUUUGUUACCUCUUAGCUUAUUAGGAGUUGUAACUAUAAACUUUGAAGACUGUGUUCAGCAAUGUCCUGUUUUUUUAUCCUUGAUUAUAUAUAUAUAUAUAUAAGAAAGGUGUGCUUCUAUAGUUAGUGAGUAAUGCUUCUAUAUAUUUUGAAUUAAGGAUCAAAAUAGAAAAUCUAAUACGUUGAACAACACAAAAGAAUGAAGGUGAGACUGUUUCUCAUCAGUUGCAUUUAUACAGAAUUUACUGAUGAAACUAAGUUACACAUAUUUUUUCUUUUAUAUCUUCAUUUAUAGUAACAUGAUUGGUACAUAUGCCUUCCAUUUUUUUUUCUCCCAAUUGUUCUUUUUGCUGGACAGAUGAUAUUACUUUGUCAUAUUUUCCAUGUUUAAACAUCUCUAGUAUGUGAAGUCACACAUUGUCAAAAAGGAGUGAUUGUUAUUAUCUUUUUAUUCUUGUAGUUUGUGGUUUGUGUUGCGAACACACGAUGCAUUGUCGUUGCGUGAUAACAUGGGAGUUUAAUACCUGAGAACAACCACAAAGUUCUUUUGUCACUGGGUACUUGCUGUGAAGAAACUUGAAAAGAGUGUUUGUAAUCACCAGAAAGAGGAGGAUUUUCUUGAAUUAGUGAAUGGCAUUGAUAGAACACGACAUGUAACAAUCGUCAAGUUUAUUGGGUACUGUUCAGAGCAUGGUCAAAGGCUUCUGAUAUACGAGUAGCAGUAAUGGAUCACUCUAUGAGGCACUCCACUCAGAGGAUGAAUUUAAAACAAGACUCACGUGGAAUGCUCGCAUCCGGAUAGCACUUGGGGCGGCUAGGGCCCUAGAGUAUUUGCAUGAGCAAGAGCAAUGUCAGCCGGCUGUGAUUCACAGAAAUUUCAAGUCUGCUAACAUUCUUCGUGACAAUGACCUAUAAAAAGCAUGGUAGAUCAAUCAGUUUUAAAGAUAAAAAUUCUCGAAAAAAAAAGAGGGGCAAAUUAUGAUAAAGAGGCAAAUACACUUCCUGUUGAGAAGGAUGAAGACAUAGUUGAGACACUUAUAGUUAUCUAAAGUCACAAUCUUAAAAUUUGUCAAAAUGAUAAAGAUCUUAAUAAAUUAUCUUUAUAGGAGAAAAUAGAACCAAAGAGAAAUGAUUGCUGACGAUAUAUUUGUAUAUAACGUAGUGCUAAAUAUUAUACAUGAAAAUGAGGAUUUUGAACAAAAAAUCAUCUAAGAAUGUCAACGAAGGGAUGAUUGGUAAAAGUGAAAAGAAGCCAUAAAUUACUUAAAUUACUUUGCAAAACGUGAAAUUUUUAGUUCUAUAGUACGAAUACUAGAAGGUGUGAAACU